rnacentral:rRNA from 1 species
GACGAACGCUGGCGGCGUGCCUAAUACAUGCAAGUUGAGCGAUGAAGAUUGGUGCUUGCACCAAUUUGAAGAGCAGCGAACGGGUGAGUAACGCGUGGGGAAUCUGCCUUUGAGCGGGGGACAACAUUUGGAAACGAAUGCUAAUACCGCAUAACAACUUUAAACAUAAGUUUUAAGUUUGAAAGAUGCAAUUGCAUCACUCAAAGAUGAUCCCGCGUUGUAUUAGCUAGUUGGUGAGGUAAAGGCUCACCAAGGCGAUGAUACAUAGCCGACCUGAGAGGGUGAUCGGCAACAUUGGGACUGAGACACGGCCCAAACUCCUACGGGAGGCAGCAGUAGGGAAUCUUAGGCAAUGGACGAAAGUCUGACCGAGCAACGCCGCGUGAGUGAAGAAGGUUUUCGGAUCGUAAAACUCUGUUGGUAGAGAAGAACGUUGGUGAGAGUGGAAAGCUCAUCAAGUGACGGUAACUACCCAGAAAGGGACGGCUAACUACGUG